AACGAACGCUGGCGGCAUGCCUAACACAUGCAAGUCGAACGAGACCUUCGGGUCUAGUGGCGCACGGGUGCGUAACGCGUGGGAACCUGCCCUUAGGUUCGGAAUAACUCCCCGAAAGGGGUGCUAAUACCGGAUAAUGUCUUCGGACCAAAGAUUUAUCGCCUUUGGAUGGGCCCGCGUUGGAUUAGCUAGUUGGUAGGGUAAAAGCCUACCAAGGCGACGAUCCAUAGCUGGUCUGAGAGGAUGAGCAGCCACACUGGGACUGAGACACGGCCCAGAAUCCUACGCGAGGGAGCAGUGGGGAAUAUUGGACAACGGGCGAAAGGCUGAUCCAGCUAGGCCGCGUGAGUGAUGAAGGCCGUAGGGUUGUAAAGCUCUUUUACCCGGGAUGAUAAUGACAGUACCGGGAGAAUAAGCUCCGGCUAACUCCGUG
rnacentral:rRNA from 1 species